rnacentral:lncRNA from 1 species
GGAUUAUAGGCAUGAAACACUGCGUCUGGCCUAUUUUCUCAUUUCUGAUAAACAUGUUGACCUUUAAAUUUUCAACCAUUGGGCUUAUUAGGGAGUCAGGGGAUUUCAUACCCACACAUGAAAAUUUGUAGGAGUGCUGGGCACAGUGGCUCAUACCUAUAAUCCCAAUGCUUUGGGAAGCUGAGGCAGGAGGAUCACUUGAGGCCAGGAGUUUGAGACCAGCCUGGCCAACAGAGCAAGAUCCCAUCUCUAUGUGACAUCUCUAUGGGAAAAAAUUUUAAAAAUUAUCCAACCAUGGUGACAUAUGCCUGUAAUCCUAGCUACUCAGGAGGCUGAGGUGGGAGGAUGGCUUGAGCCCAGGAGUUGGAUGUUACAAUGAGCUAUGAGCCACUGCACUCCAGCCUAAGCAACAGAGCAAGAUCCUAUCACUAUUAAAAAAAAAAAGAAAGAAAAAAGAAAAGGAAGAAAAUUUAUGGGGGCAAUAGUGGUUAUAGAAAGACUUUCACUAGCUGGGCGCAGUGGCUCAUGCCUAUAAUCCUGGCACUUUGGGAGGCCGAGGCAGGCAGAUCAUGAGGUCUAGGAGUUCGAGACCAGCCUGGCCAAUACAGUUACACUCCGUCUCUACUAAAAGUAUAACAAUUAGCUGGGCGUGGUGGCUCACGCCUGUAGUCUCAACUACUCGGAAGGCUGAGGCAGAAGAAUCGCUUGAACGCAGGAAGCAGAGAUUGCAGCGAGCCGAGAUGGUGCCACUGCACUCCACCCUGGGUGACAGAGCGAGACUCCAUCUCAAAAAAAAAAAAAAAAAAAAAAAAAAGACUUUUACUAAUAUCUGUAUCACCCGCAUUUAAUGUUUGUGGAAAUAAUGUUACCUUAUUUCCUAAUAAGUGUAAAGGGCGCAUUUUGGAAUGACAAUGGACCUCUCUUUCAUCACUGACUCCUGGUAAAUAUGUGUGACUUAAGCUACUUUGGGUGUUCAGGAAACAUGGCUGGGCACAGUGGCUCACGCCUGUAAUCCCAGCACUUUGGGAGGCCGAGGUGGGCAGAUCAUCUGAGGUCAGGAGUUCGAGACCAGCCUGGCCAACAUGGUGAAACCUCAUCUCUACUAAAAACAUAAAAAUUAGCCAAGCGUGGGUGGCACACACCUGUAAUCCCAGCUACCCAGGAGGCUGAGGCAGAAGAAUCGCUUGAACCUGGGAGGUGGAGGUUGCAGUGAGCCAAGAAGAUCGUGCCACUGCACUCCAGCCUGGGUGACAGAGUGAGACUCUGUCCAAACAAAAAAAAGAAAAAAAAAGAAACCUAUAAGCAAGAAAGGAGCUGAUCACCCUCAAGGAAACACAAAACUAUAAUCCCAACAUAACUGGUAACUUUUCCUGUGGCUUUUGAGUAGCAGUGGGGCAUCCUUGAUGACUGAGAGGGAAGGAUACCACUCACAGGCCAGAAGACUGCCUUGGCAGAGUCUGUUUCUCUCUCUCCUAUGGAACCAGUCUGGAGAAAUCUUCUACCCUCCUGAUGCUGCAAUUACUUUUCUACCUCACAGACUGGGGACAUUGAGGGGCUUCUAGUAAUGUGACUAUUGCUUUUUUUUUUUUUUUUUAGACUGGGUCCACUCCAGGCUGGAGUGCAGUGGCACGAUCUCAGCUCACUGCAACCUCCACCUCCCAGGUUCAAGUGAUUUCUGGCUAAUUUUUGUAUUUUUAGUAGAGACAGGGUUUCACCAUGUUGGCAAGGCUGGUCUCGAACUCCUGACCUCAAGUGAUCUGCCCACUUUGGUCUCUCAAAGUGCUGGGAUUACAGGUGUGAGCCACCACAUCCAGCCAGCUAUUGCUUAAUUAAGCACCUUCCCCCUAAAGGUAACCUGAACUUCAUGGUUCAAAAAGGUCACAUUUCACAGACAUGUUUGGGAAGCAUUAAUACAGCUAUUUUAAGUUGUAAUAAUAAAGACCGUAUCACUCUUUUGAAAGCAGUAAAGAUGGGUAUGACACAACGGAUCAUCAUUAGUGGAGUCUGGACUCUGCGUCAGGUACUCCAUCUUCAUUCUCUCUAAUCCUUACAGCAACCUAACAAGGUAGGACUAUUAAUCGUACUUUAAGGUAAAUUUACUCAUUUUACAGACAAGGAAUCUAGGAUCCAGAGGGGUUAAUACUCCCCUAGUAAUAAGUGGCAGUGCUGGGAUUCAAACUCAGCCCCGUUUGACUUCAAAGUCCCUGCCAUUCCCAUUUGGUCCUCUUUUAUCCUGGUUAUGCCUAGGGAUUGUCACUGGGUAGGUUCUGCUUUGUGAAGAACUAAUUAGGAAUUGAACUUGGAUGGCACUGUCAACUUUCACAGCGAGCUUUGUACAGUAAACUGUGACAAGAACCUGACAGCUCCAUGGGGUAGGUUUCUUGGCAGAGUAUCUAGGAGGGAGACCAGAGUAAUCUCAGCUAUUAUGAAGCUCUGCCCUGUCUGUGGAGAGUUUUAAAUGUCCAUGAAAGACAACGGUUAAGGGACCUGAGAGGGUCUGGAAACUCUUUACCUUCAAUAUGGAGACCUAUACAUGGAAAAAUUCUCUUGCUAGAAAGGGAAGGAUGGAUGUGGCAAGAAUGCAAGUGGACAGCAGCCCUUCAGGCCCACGGAAGGAAGCCAGGUUCAGCUGCUAACGAACAGCUCAGAACAAUGUCAACAACCAGGAGCUGGGGCCAUGGAGAGUUGAAAGAAACAGCACUAUAGCAGGCGGUUAAGUCUGCCAGAUUUAGCAAAUCAAAACAUACAAUGCCCAGCUAAAUUUGAAUUUCAGAUAAACAACGAAUUAUUUUCUAGUGUAAGUAUGCCCACGCACCAUUUUAUCUGGCAACCUCAGCAGGGGGUGACUUCCUGGGCUGCAUUUGGAGACUAACAGUAGGGAGCACUCCCUCCAUGAGGCCUUGGGACAAUGUAUACAGGAUGGGUCAUACUGUGGGUGGAUGUCAGUGUAGAAAGUGAACUUGGGAAAGCUUAUUGUCUUAAUAGGGAGCCAUGUAGCCCCUAAGUCCUCACAUUGCAACCUAGGGAGGGACAAACCAUCUGAGACUGCAAGAGAGGUAAAUGAAUUUUUAGGCUGAGGUGACUUAGAAAUUUUCAUCAUUGAGAUAAAGGCUUCACACUUAAGGUUUGAUCUGUUCUUCAAUUAAACUUCUUAUUAAUAAUAUAAUUGGAAGCAGUCUAUGAAAAAAGUUCUUAAUAGGAUAACUUGUCUGGUAUUUCAGAUAUUCUCAUAAAUGUUAGGAAUGAGGCAGGCUGUAUGAGAAUUCACUUUCUUUUUCAGGCCGGGUGCGGUGGCUCAUGCCUGUAAUCCCAGCACUUUGAGAGGCUGAGGCAGGUGGAUCACCUGAGGUCGGAAGUUCGAGACCAGCCUGACCAACAUGGAGAAACCCCCAUCUCUACUAAAAAUACAAAAUGAGCUGGGUGUGGUGGCGCAUGCCUGUAAUCCCAGCUACUUGGGAGGCUGAGGUAGGAGGAUUGCUUGAACCUGGGAGGCAGAGGUUGUGGUGAGCCGAGAUGGUGCCAUUGCACUCCAGCCUGGGCAACAAGAGUGAAACUACGUCUCAAAAAAAAAAAAAAAAAAGUAAACCAUGCUAUAAACAGAUGUACUGUCAUCCAGGCUUUGUUGUUCCAUUUAUAUAGCGCACAGGCAGAGCAGAUUUAGCAUAAUUCUUAAAGGCCCUAGAAUUUUGAGAACGCUAAAUAAGCACUGACUUCCACUGAAAGUCACAGCUGUGUUAGCCCCUACCAAGAGAAUCAUCCUGUCCUUGGAAACUUGAAGGCAGGCACUGAUUUCUCUUCUCUAGCUAUGAAAGUCUUAGAUGGCAUCUCCUUCAAAUAGAAACUGUUUCAUCUUCAACAAAAAUCUGUUGUUUAGUGUAGCCACCUUCAUCAAUUAUCUUAGAUCUUUUGGAUCACCUAUGCUUCAUCUUGCACUUUUUUGUUAGAGAUGACUUCAUUACUUAAACCUCAUUAACCAACCUCUGCUCGCUUCAAACUUUCCUUCUGUAGUUUCCUCACCUCUCUCAGGAUUCAGAGAAUUGAAGAGAGCUAGGACUGUGAUCUGGAUUAGGCUUUAGCUUAAGGGAAUGUUGUAGCUGGUUUGAUUUGUCCAGACCACUAAAAUGUUUUCCAUAUCAGCAAGAGGGCUGUUCUGUUUCUUAACAUUCAGGUACUCACUGGAGUAGCACUUUUAAUUUCCUUCAAGAACUUUCCCUUUGCCUUCACAACUUGGUUAACUGUUCGGUGUAAGAGCCCUAACUUUUGGCCUAUCUUGGCUUUCAACAUGCCUUCCUCACUAAGCAAAAUCAUUUCUAGCUUUCGAUUUAAAGUGAGAAACGUGCAACUCUUCCUUUAACUUGAACACUUAGAGGUCACUGUGGGGCUAUUAAUUGGCCUGGAUUUCAAUAUUGUGUCUUAGGGAAUUGGAGGCGCAAGGAGAGAAAGAGAAAUGAGGGAACAGCUGAUCCGUGGACAUCAGAACACACAGGACAUUUAUGGAGUUAAGUUUGCCAUCUUAUACAGGUGCAGCUUGUGGCUGCCCAAGACAAUUACAAUAGUAACAUCAAAGAUCACUGAUUACAGAUCACCAUAACUGAAAUAAUAAUAAUGGAGGGCAGGUGUGGUGGCUCAUGCCAAUAAUCCCAGCACUUUGGUUGGCCAAGGCGGGCAGAUCACUUGAGGUCAGGAGUUUGAGACCAGCCUGGCCAACAUGGCAAAACCCUGUCUCUAUUGAAAAUACAAAAAAAUUAGCUGGGCAUGGUGGCACAUGCCUGUAAUUCCAGCUACUUGGGAGGCUGAGGCAGGAGAAUUGCUUGAACCUGGGAGGCGGAGGUUGCAGUGAGCAGCGAUCACACCACUGCAUUCCAGCCUGGACCACAGAGUGAGACUCUGUCUCGAAUAAUAAUAAUAGCAAUGGAAAAGGCCAGGCGCGGUGGCUCAUGCCUGUAAUCCCAGCACCUUGGGAGGCCGAGGUAGGCAGAUCACCUGAGGUCAGGAGUUCAAGACCAGCCUGGCCAACAUGGUGAAACCCCGUCUCUACUAAAAAUAUAAAAACUAGCCAGGUGUGGUGGUGGACGCCUGUAAACCCAGCUACUCGGGAGGCUGAGGCAGGAGAAUUGCUUGAACCCAGGAGACGGAGGUUGCAGUGAGCUGACACAGUGCCACUGCACUCCAGCCUCGGCGACAGAGUGAGACUCUGUCUCAAAAAAAGAAAAAAUAGUAAUGGAAAAGUUUGAAAUACUGUGAGAAUUACCAAAAUGCUAUUAGAAAAAUGACUUGCUCAAAGCAGGGUUGCCACAAACCUUCAAAUAGUAAGUAACACAUCUGUGAAGCACAAUAAAAUGAAGUAUGCCUGUAAUGAAUUUUAUAUUUAUUUUUUAAGUUUCUUGUUUGCUUAUUUAUUUAUUUAUAUUUUUGAGAUGGAGUCUCACUCUGUCGCCCAGGCUGGAGUGCAAUGGCGUGAUCUCAGCUCACUGCAACCUCCACCUCCUGGGUUCAAGGGAUUCUCCUGCCUCAGCCUCCUGAGUAGCUGGGAUUACAGGCAACCGCCAUCAUGCCCAGCUUAUUUUUGUAGAGACGGGGUUUCUCCAUGUUGGCCAGGCUGGUCUUCUCCUGACCUCAGGUGAUCUGCCUGUUUUGGCGUCCCAAAAGUGCUGGGAUUACAGGCGCAGUGGCCCACACCUGUAAUCCCAGCACUUUGGGAGGCUGAGGCAGGCGGAUCAUCUGAGGUUGAGUUCCAGGCCAGCCUGACCAACAUGGAGAAACCCGGUCUCUACUAAUAACACAAAAUUAGCCAGAACUGGUGGUGCAUGUCUGUAAUCCCAGCUGCUCAGGAGGCUGAGGCAGGAGAAUCGCUUGAACUCGGGAGGUAGAGGUUGCAGUGAGCCGAGAUCGAGCCACUGCACUCCAGCCUGGGCAACAAGAGCAAAACUCUUGUCUCAAAAAAAAAAAAAAUAAACAAACAAACAAAUAAAAAAGUGCUGGGAUUACAGGCUUGAGCUACCAUGCCAAGCCCAAAUUUAAAAAUCAAGUUCCAUAUGAGUGGCUCCAAAUACCCUCCACUAAUCCUCGGUGCAACUUACAAAUAUGAUCAUUU